GUGCUCGUUUCAGCAGCACAUAUAUUAAUACUGGAACGAUACAGAGAAGAUUAGCAUAGUCCCUGAGCAAGGAUGACACGCAAGUUCAUGAAGUGUUCCAUAUUUUU